AUUGAACGCUGGCGGAAUGCUUUACACAUGCAAGUCGAACGGCAGCACGGGGGCAGCCCUGGUGGCGAGUGGCGCACGGGUGAGUAAUACAUCGGAACGUGCCCGGUCGUGGGGGAUAACGUAGCGAAAGUUACGCUAAUACCGCAUACGAUCUGAGGAUGAAAGCGGGGGACCUUCGGGCCUCGCGCGAUCGGAGCGGCCGAUGUCAGAUUAGGUAGUUGGUGGGGUAAAGGCCUACCAAGCCGACGAUCUGUAGCUGGUCUGAGAGGACGACCAGCCACACUGGGACUGAGACACGGCCCAGACUCCUACGGGAGGCAGCAGUGGGGAAUUUUGGACAAUGGGCGCAAGCCUGAUCCAGCCAUUCCGCGUGCAGGACGAAGGCCUUCGGGUUGUAAACUGCUUUUGUACGGAACGAAAAGGCUCUGGCUAAUACCUGGGGCUCAUGACGGUACCGUAAGAAUAAGCACCGGCUAACUACGUG
rnacentral:rRNA from 1 species